UGCCUGUGAUGUAUUGAAUUGCACGUAUUACCAGAUACAAGAGUGAUGAUAAUACAAAUUGUCACUACCUCUGAGGCA